rnacentral:rRNA from 1 species
UACGUAGGGUGCAAGCGUUGUCCGGAAUUAUUGGGCGUAAAGGGCGCGUAGGCGGCCUGGCAAGUGGAAGGUGAAAUCCCUCGGCUUAACCGAGGAACUGCCCUCCAAACUGCUUGGCUUGAGUCCGGGAGAGGUGAGUGGAAUUCCCAGUGUAGUGGUGAAAUGCGUAGAGAUCAGGCGGAACACCCGUGGCGAAGGCGGCCAGCUGGGCCGACCCUGACGCUGAGGCGCGAAGGCGUGGGGAGCGAACGGG